GACUCAAGAGAAAACAUUGGAGACCGGAGGAGCAGAUUCCACUCUUCUCUGCCCAAACCAAACACUCACUGACAUCAGUACUGUAGUAUGUCACAAAAAUAGAGUUACACAUGAGGGUCAAGAGUGUAUAGUUUCACACGACGUUGAGACAAAUCAUACCAACAGCACUUGUGACCCCAGAGUCACACUGCAGACAGAGAAUGACAGAGUGUUUCUACACAUCACCAACAUACAACCAUCUGAUGAAGGGAACUACACCUGUGAUUGUACAUAUUAUGAAGGCAAUUCUGAUAUAAACAUACAUAUUUCGGUCAAUGGACACCAAGUGCAACAGGCCACAGACAACCGUCUCUUCUAUUGGGGGAUGAUAACAGGCGUUGCAGCAUGUGUAGCUGUCCUGGUGUUUGGUGGCGUAAUCAUGAGGAAAAUUCAUCUCAGAACACAGCUACAAGUGUCUGGAACCGUCAACGAGGUGCCACAACACUGCUUGCUGUUGCCUGUUAGUCAGAUGACAGCAGCUGGGUCCCCAUUUGCAACAGUUGCGUACAUUUCACAAUAAAUAUCUGCGCGCUCCAUACCUGAAAAGACCGCACACGUACAAUCACAUUGAGAUUCAUCAACUUGGGCGGAUGCAAUACGUAUGCAUGUUUCCGCUAUAAAUCAGACCCGUCCUGAACCUGUGCGCGCCUGAGUGAGAAUCUGCCUGAAAAAUGGCCUUCAUUCACCAUUUAUAGUGAGAAUAACGCCUUUUUUCACUGUAUACUUUGGAAGUAUUGUAAUUAUACCAUGGUAGUUUCCAAAUAGAAAUGGUAAGCUUGAUCAAAUGUCUCUGGAGGUGUUGGCAGAAUGUUUAAAUCUUUUACAGUGACAUUUGCAGUAUCUGACCAUUUCUGAAAUAAAAAACUAUUGCAAAUGG